rnacentral:lncRNA from 1 species
UUUUAAUAUGCUGCAUAGACAAAUUCUGCAAAGGAAAAAUGGAAAGGGUGCCCAGGAGACAGGCAGCCACGUACCUGUGAUGCGUGUCAUGCACCUCUGCAUGGCAUCCAAUCGCGCCCCCUUCUCUGGCAGGACAGGAAGGAGCCUUUGCUUCGGGGCUGCGCAUCUAAAAUUGCCAGAGUAGGACAGCACAUAUUUGCAGGCUAACACAAGCAUUUCUGAAAGGAAAUGCAUUUGGAAACUGAGUGGUAUUGAAGCAUCUAUUUUUCUUGCUAGCAGCACAAUCUGCCACCAGGAAGGUUUUAAACACUUUCCUGACAGAGAGUGCCUGCCUGAAUUUUUUGGUAAUUAAUCAUGCAUAAUACUUUAAAUUCCACACAGGCGGCUGGCUGAAAACCCUCCAGGGAUUGCUGCAUUUGCUAUCCGAAAGUCAACUCCUAUGCCUUCGGAGAGUGAGGAAGAUCAGAGAGGGGCAUUUUUGCCUGUUUUAAUGUCGCCAUCAGUCACCAGGCAAGUCUGCAAUCUUUGCUGCAUCCUUCCAUGGUAUCGGCACAAGCAAGGCUGUAGGUAUCUAAUACAUAUUUAAGAGUAUGGGAUGUAAUAAAAUCGGGUAAUUCCUUGCCUUGGCUGGCACCACAGUAUUCUCAAAUAGGAAGACUGGGUGCUAGGAUCUGUCUGCUGUGCUUGUGUGGGCUCACUUGAAGAGUCAGAUCACAUCCCUCUCUUGUUUGGCCAGCUCUGUUAGAACCAUGGUGGUGGGUAAUUAAAUGAUACACCAGCGCCUCUCACCUGACAGCUUAAGAGAACGUUCACAUAUAUUUACAUAUAUAUUUCAGAUACACAUAUAUUUCACAGUUGUAAACCAAAAGGUAUGUGAGACAGGUCUCAAUCGAUUUAGAAAGUUUAUGUUGUCAAGGUUAAGGAUGCACCUGUGAUGCAGCCUCAGAAGGUCCCAACAUGUGCCCGAGGUGGUCCAGGCACAGCUUGGUUUUAUACAUUUUAGGGAGACAAGAGAUAAACACUGGUUCCUUCGGUCUGCAAAGAGUCUCACCCUGUUACCCAGACUGGAGUGAACUGGCACAAUCUCGGCUCACUGUCACCUCCACCUCCCAGGUUCAAGACAUUCUCCUGCCUCAGCCUCCUGAGUAGCUGGGAUUACAGAGGAGGAAAAUGAGCUGCAGAAGGAUCAAAUGACCUGCCUGAGGUGCCCUAUCUGUUGGCACAGGCCAGAGCACAUGGUGGAUGCAGGGGCACCCCCUUCCCUUCUCCUCCCCUCCGGCUCUUUGCUGACAGGAUUCUCUCUUGCCUUCUCUGAUGGUACCUGUGCUACGUGCCACAUCCUUUCCCUCAAUGAAUUUCAGGCAGUGGAAGGGGCCGCAGAAGUUCCUUGACUCAUGAGGCGAGGCAUUCAGCGGCCUCGUGACACCUCCCAGGAUCUGCAGUCAUUGGGCUGCACUUGCCAAUAGCAACACCUGGCAAAAAUAGCUAAGAAGCAGAGCGGCCUGGGCUCAGGAGCUGAGCAACCCCUGACUGGCCAGAUGGAGACUGUGUUGAGCUCUGCCCAAGCCCUGUGAUCCUGGAAAACAGUGAAGUUAAGGAGCCAUCUGCAUUCUAGGGAAUGGCCCACUGCAAAAAAUAGCCUUCCUUAUAGGACGUAGAGGACUCAUGAUGUCCCCUCAUUUAUGAUGAGCCAACACACAGCCCUUCCAAAUUCCGAUUCUUUGCUUCAUAACUGAUGAGCUGUUUUGUUCCCACUGGUCAAUCGGAACAACAUUCUUGCUAACCAGAUUUUGGUUCAGCUCUUCUCCCUCCCCAUGUACCUGCCCUGUGUCCUGUCCUCAUCCUGAGCCAGCACACACCCCUCCUUAGUAGCUCCUCCUGCAGCAGGCUGACCUCGGACUCUCCCUGAUCCAUUGUCCAAAUAUAUCACCCUUUCACCCUACAUCCUCACACCCCAUUCUUUCUAGUUUUGUUCAUUCCUCCCUGUGAAAGAUGAACCCUCUUUGCCUAACCCCGGACCUGCUUGCAGACUGCUAUGAUGGCCAGAGUGUCCCCCCUACUGCAAGAGUCCCUUCUGUCCCUUGCAACAUCUUUUAAAUAAAAUCUCUCUUUACC